rnacentral:rRNA from 1 species
AACGUAGGGCGCAAGCGUUAUCCGGAGUUACUGGGCGUAAAGCGCGGGCAGGCGGCUCGAAACGUCUGAUGUGAAAUCUCCUCGCUCAACGGGGAGAGGCCAUUGGAAACGGUCGGGCUGGAGGGCAGUAGAGGCAGGCGGAAUUCCGGGUGGAGUGGUGAAAUGCGCAGAUAUCGGGAAGAACACCUAUGGCGAAGGCAGCUCUCUGGGACGGUACUGACGCUGAGAAGCGAAAGCAUGGGGAGCGAACAGG